GUUUAGAAAAUCUCAUUUACUAGGAUGUGAAACUUUUUUCUUGUCACGAGGAAGAACAAAACACAGAACAGGAAGCAGCUGAUGUUCCUGUUCAAUCAAUAAUGGAGUAUGAAGAAGCAGGUGAAUCAUUUCAGUAUGUGCAGUGUAAACAGGAGCCUAAACAAGCAGAUGACUCAUUUCAGGUUUUUCCAUCAACAAGUGCUAAAGGAAAGAGAAAGUUGGAUCUUCAGGGUGAGUCCAGUGAAGGACAAUCACCCAGAAAACGACGUGACCAUGAAGCACAACCAGACAGAGAAGCGUUCAUACUGUCUGAUGUCAAAGAUAUUUUGAGAUCUGUCCUUAAGAAACUGCCCGACCAAGGCAACACAAAGAUGAAUGAGUUCCUGAGG